UAGGGAAUCUUCGGCAAUGGACGAAAGUCUGACCGAGCAACGCCGCGUGAGUGAAGAAGGUUUUCGGAUCGUAAAACUCUGUUGUUAGAGAAGAACAAGGACGUUAGUAACUGAACGUCCCCUGACGGUAUCUAACCAGAAAGCCACGGCUAACUACGUGCCAGCAGCCGCGGUAAUACGUAGGUGUCAAGCGUUGUCCGGAUUUAUUGGGCGUAAAGCGAGCGCAGGCGGUUUCUUAAGUCUGAUGUGAAAGCCCCCGGCUCAACCGGGGAGGGUCAUUGGAAACUGGGAGAAUUGAAUGCAGAAGAGGAGAGUGGAAUUCCAUGUGUAGCGGUGAAAUGCGUAGAUAUAUGGAGGAACACCAGUGGCGAAGGCGGCUCUCUGGUCUGUAACUGACGCUGAGGCUCGAAAGCGUGGGGAGCAAACAGG
rnacentral:rRNA from 1 species